GAUGAACGCUGGCGGCGUGCCUAAUACAUGCAAGUAGAACGCUGAAGGAAGGAGCUUGCUCUUUCCGGAUGAGUUGCGAACGGGUGAGUAACGCGUAGGUAACCUGCCUGGUAGCGGGGGAUAACUAUUGGAAACGAUGGCUAAUACCGCAUAACAGUAGAUAUUGCAUGAUAUCUGCUUGAAAGGGGCAAUUGCUCCACUACCAGAUGGACCUGCGUUGUAUUAGCUAGUUGGUGAGGUAACGGCUCACCAAGGCGACGAUACAUAGCCGACCUGAGAGGGUGAUCGGCCACACUGGGACUGAGACACGGCCCAGACUCCUACGGGAGGCAGCAGUAGGGAAUCUUCGGCAAUGGACGGAAGUCUGACCGAGCAACGCCGCGUGAGUGAAGAAGGUUUUCGGAUCGUAAAGCUCUGUUGUAAGAGAAGAACGAGUGUGAGAGUGGAAAGUUCACACUGUGACGGUAUCUACCA
rnacentral:rRNA from 1 species